rnacentral:SRP_RNA from 1 species
GCUGGGCGCUGUGGUGUGUGCUUGUAGUCCCAGCUAUUCAGGAGGCUGAGGCUGGAGGAUCUCUAAGUCCGGUAGUUCUGGGCUGUAGUGCGCUAUGCCAAUCGGGUGUCCGCACUAAGUUUGGCAUUAAUAUGAUGACCUCCCAGGAAUGGGGGCACCACCAGGUUGCCUAAGGAGGGGUGAACUGGCCCAGGUUGGAAACGGAGCAGGUCAAAACUCCCGAGCUGAUCAGUAGCGGGAUCACGCCUGUGAAUAGCCACUGCACUCCAGCCUGGGCAACAUAGCAAGACCCCAUUCCU